GACGUAGGGCGCAAGCGUUGUCCGGAUUUAUUGGGCGUAAAGAGCUCGUAGGCGGCUUGUUGCGUCGACCGUGAAAACCCGCGGCUCAACUGCGGGCUUGCGGUCGAUACGGGCAGGCUGGAGUUCGGUAGGGGAGACUGGAAUUCCUGGUGUAGCGGUGAAAUGCGCAGAUAUCAGGAGGAACACCGGUGGCGAAGGCGGGUCUCUGGGCCGAUACUGACGCUGAGGAGCGAAAGCGUGGGGAGCGAACAGG
rnacentral:rRNA from 1 species